rnacentral:rRNA from 1 species
UACAUGGGGUGCAAACGUUGCUCGGAAUCAUUGGGCGUAAAGCGCGUGUAGGCGGUUCGGUAAGUCCGCUGUGAAAGUCAAAGGCUCAACCUUUGAAAGCCGAUGGAUACUGUGAGGCUAGAGUCCGGAAGAGGCGAGUGGAAUUCCUGGUGUAGCGGUGGAAUGCGCAGAUAUCAGGAGGAACACCAAUAGCGAAGGCAGCUCGCUGGGACGGUACUGACGCUAAGGCGCGAAAGCGUGGGGAGCGAACAGG